GAUGAAGAACGUAGCAAAAUGCGAUAAGUAAUGUGAAUUGCAGAAUUCAGUGAAUCAUCGAAUCUUUGAACGCACAUUGCGCCCGCCAGUAUUCUGGCGGGCAUGCCUGUUCGAGCGUCAUUUCAACCAUCAAGCCCCAGGCUUGUGUUGGGGACCUGCGGCUGCCGCAGGCCCUGAAAACCAGUGGCGGGCUCGCUAGUCACACCGAGCGUAGUAGCAUACACAUCGCUCAGGGCGUGCUGCGGGUUCCGGCCGUUAAAAAGCCUUAUUUACCCAAGGUUGACCUCGGAUCAGGUAGGAAGACCCGCUGAACUUAAGCAUAUCAAUAAGCGGAGGA
rnacentral:misc_RNA from 1 species